GUCCCUGCAGCGCAAUAGAUAGUGCGUUGGACAUUUUAUCCAAAGGGCGUGGAUUCGAAUUCCACUUGGGAAG